rnacentral:rRNA from 1 species
GUGUCAGCAGCCGCGGUAAUACGUAGGGUGCGAGCGUUAAUCGGAAUUACUGGGCGUAAAGCGUGCGCAGGCGGUUAUUUAAGUCAGGUGUGAAAGCCCUGGGCUUAACCUAGGAAUUGCGCUUGAGACUGGAUAGCUUGGAGUGCGGCAGAGGGAGGUGGAAUUCCACGUGUAGCAGUGAAAUGCGUAGAGAUGUGGAGGAACACCGAUGGCGAAGGCAGCCUCCUGGGCCAGCACUGACGCUCAUGCACGAAAGCGUGGGGAGCAAACAGGAUUAGAAACCCCCGUAGUCC